CGGCAACUGGGAAAUUAAGGCUUCCCCGGAUGGCUCCUGUCCCUUUAACUCCAAUCAGGUUACAGCCACCUCCACCAGGUUAGGGAUCUGUCAGCUACACCAUCCCACAGCCCACCGAACUUUUUCAAGAGAAGAUCGAGCCAUUUGUCUCUGGAGGAGCAAACAGCAGCAGUGAGCCCGGUCCAGGCUGCCCGUGUGGACGCGCACCAGUGAGCAGAGCCGGAAUCUUUCCAGGCCUCUCAUCUCAUUUGCACCCUGAUGUGCCCAUCCGCUGGAGGUGGCCCUACUAAGCGUCAGCUAUGCACCAGCCCCACAAUCAUGCUUUGACCUGUCAUUCAGUCUCCACCACAGCCUUACCACUUAGAUCACCUUCGGAUCACUCUACAGAAAAACGAGCCUCUGAGAGCUUAACUUGCCCAGAAUAUUUCUGGCCUCAUCCAAAUGUCAGUGUUUUUUGCUGUACACAGUUGAGUUGCCAGAUAAAACACAGAACCUUCAGUUAUAUAUGAAUUUCAGAUCAACAAUAAAUACUUUUUAGUAUAAGUAUGUUCUAAAUAUCACAUGGAACUUAUACUAAAAAUAAAAACAUCUCUAUUUCAUCAGAAAUUCAAGUUUAG
rnacentral:lncRNA from 10 species